GGAACCUGUCCUGUAAUCGAUAAUCCCCGUUAAUUUGACCUAGAUUUGUAGAUCAACUUGUAUAUCGCUGUCGUAAGAUUAUUUUUAGAGAAAUUUUUCAAUAAUAAAUUUUUAUUUAUGUCAAGUCAAGGUGCAGUAAAUGUCUAGGGGUGAGAUGGGUUACAAUAUAGGAAUAUAUAUGGAUAUAAUUUUGUAAAUGUUAUUGAAGGUGGAUUUAAUUGUAAUGUAGGAUUAAWUAUCUUAUAUGGAAAAGUACUAAUAUAUGC
rnacentral:rRNA from 1 species